UUAAUUCAAAUUUGUAUGGGGUUGGAACGUAUGCCUACGUUUGCCGCUAGGGGCGCUGUUUCAACUGCAUACAAAUUUGAUUUA
rfam:Bombyx mori DNA, contig: Bm_scaf120_contig38234, strain: p50T/Dazao, build 2, whole genome shotgun sequence.